UGUACUUGAGAUUUUUUGAACCAGACAUGUUUAUAAGGAGAGUAGCUUCACUGAACAUUCCGAAUCUCCUUAACAAAUCAACAUAACUUUCAAGUAAAUCGUCUAAUUGAAUCCGUGGUAAAUCUAUAGUUAGGUAUGAAAAAACUGAACAAACGCAGGCUGCCGUUUGGACAUCUCCUCGAGAUAUACAGUCGCUUAUAAUCGAUGUAACAACAUAAGGAAGUUCAAUAGGAGGUAGAUCAUCGAUAGGAAUUUCAGAAUCAGUAUCUCCAUGUAAUGAUAACUGGUCUAAAAAUAUAGAUGCUCGACGUGAAGAAUUACCAGCACUCAAUACGGCUUCUCUCGAUUUGAUUGAAGCAGAUGUAACAGAACUUCUGUGGAAUGAAUUGAACAUUUCGUUAUGUGACGUACCAGAAUAAUUUGAUGCUGCAGAAUCUAGUAAAUAGGAUGAAUUGAUGCUUGCCCGGCUAUCAGUUGAAAAAUUAUUAACCGGUGCUUGUCCUUUCUUUAAUACGAUCGGAUUUUCUAAAUCAUGCCAUUGCGAUUGCUUAUUAAGGACGGCUUUAUCGAGAUUGUCCUCGGAUUCGAUAGAUGAAUUAGAGGAUUCUGAAGGAGUAGAUGCUUCCCGUGGUUCAAAAAAAUCAUUUAAUGAUAAA